rnacentral:rRNA from 1 species
CGUCGCGCCCGCAUUCCGCCGCGCGCAGUGUCACCCGUGGGACCAGACUC